GUGCCAGCAGCCGCGGUAAUACGUAGGUGGCAAGCGUUAUCCGGAAUUAUUGGGCGUAAAGCGCGCUUAGCCGGUUUUUUAAGUCUGAUGUGAAAGCCCACGGCUCAACCGUGGGGGGUCAUUGGAAACUGGAAAACUUGAGUGCGGAAGAGGAAAGUGGAAUUCCAUGUGUAGCGGUGAAAUGCGCAGAGAUAUGGAGGAACACCAGUGGCGAAGGCGACUUUCUGGUCUGUAACUGACGCUGAUGUGCGAAAGCGUGGGGAUCAAACAGGAU
rnacentral:rRNA from 1 species